rnacentral:tRNA from 2 species
CCGCGGGUGGCCAAAUGGUUCUCGUGCUUGCCUCCCACGCAAAAAGCCGAGGUUCGAUGCCUCUCCGCGGA